rnacentral:rRNA from 1 species
GAUGAACGCAGGCGGCGUGCCUAGUACAUGCAAGUCGAGCGAACGGACGAGAAGCUUGCUUCUCUGAUGUUAGCGGCGGACGGGUGAGUAACACGUGGAUAACCUACCUAUAAGACUGGGAUAACUUCGGGAAACCGGAGCUAAUACCGGAUGAUAUUUUGAACCGCAUGGUUCAAAAGUGAAAGACGGUCUUGCUGUCACUUAUAGAUGGAUCCGCGCUGCAUUAGCUAGUUGGUAAGGUAACGGCUUACCAAGGCAACGAUGCAUAGCCGACCUGAGAGGGUGAUCGGCCACACUGGAACUGAGACACGGUCCAGACUCCUACGGGAGGCAGCAGUAGGGAAUCUUCCGCAAUGGGCGAAAGCCUGACGGAGCAACGCCGCGUGAGUGAUGAAGGUCUUCGGAUCGUAAAACUCUGUUAUUAGGGAAGAACAUAUGUGUAAGUAACUGUGCACAUCUUGACGGUACCUAAUCAGAAAGCCACGGCUAACUACGUG